GUGCUCACUUCAGCAGCACAUAUACUAAAAUUGGAACGAUAUAGAGAGGAUUAGCAUGGUCCCUGCAC
ensembl:snRNA U6 U6 spliceosomal RNA